AUCACAAUGGAACAGUUCUUGAUGCUCUGGAGUGUAACACCAGCAGCUCGGUCGAGCUCGAACCCGGGCAGAGUGUGAGCAUCUCUUGCGGGGCCAAGGCUUCUGGGCCAGUGAGCAUCACAUGGAUGAAGGACAAUGUGACUGUGUCCAACUGUGAUCUUCUGCUCAUACGUAAUGUGAGCAGUGAUGAUGCCGGGCUCUACAGCGUUGCCGUGUCUGUGGACGACUACCCCAGUCUGCAGAGACAAGCUGUGGUCAAUGUGACCGUACACAGGGUUGUUGCUCCAACCAGCUGGGACCAUUUGGACGCCACCUCCAUCAUCGCAACAUCGGGGGACCCUGUCCAAGUUAGCACAAGCACUGCCCUGACAAUGGUCACCUCAGAUAUGACGUGGACUGACAUCAGCACAACCGCAAUGGAGCAUGACUGGAAAACUGUGGAAGAGACUUUCUCCUCUGAAAAUGCAACUACAGAGCAGUUUGACAGCAUGAAUACAACAACAUCAGAGGACAACACCACAGACUCAAAAGCUAAUGGAUUUACAUUCAGUUCCGUGCUGCCCUGGUUCUCGCAGAACAUCACAUCAGCGGGAACACACGAGAGCAUGGUCCCCAACACUGGGACAUCACCACGCAGCAUCAUUGCAAGUGUACCCACCACCUCAGCACCAAAUAAGAGGAACAUGCUGUGGGCCAUCUUCCCUUUCCUGGCGUUAGCAGUCAUAGCCACUGUUCUGUACAUGAAAUACAGAAUCCAGAGGAGGAUGGACUUGCCCCCCCCCUUUUAAACCCCCCCCACCACCGGUGAAGUACACUUCAGUGCGGACCACCCCUGUUUCAGAGUACCCCAUGAUAGACAUCCAAAGAAUUUAGAGCAGCACACGGAGGGCCAGGGCAGCCAUAAAGAUGCGUCCCACUCUCUGACGGACAUCUGUUUCCACAGUGGUCCUAAGCCAUUGGGCUUGUGACCUCAAGCUUUCGAUCCCAGGAUGAAAGUUACAUUGAGACCUUUGGGGGGAAAAACAUCCAUAUAUAUUAAACUAUAUAAAUGGGUAGAAAUACUGUAAUAGUUACUUUUAAUACAGCUUUGUGUUUGGAGGAACAUUUUGUACGUUUUAUGCUAACCCCAGAUAAGGAGGCCAUUUGUUUCCUGGCCUGCGCACCUGCUCUGGUGUGUUUCCUCUUAUAUGUAACAUUCAAAAAUUUCACAUUUACAUCUGUGCACGAUUUUACCGCAUACAGCAUGUAUUUGUUUCAGGCAGCGUAUUCUGUUUAGAAAGUAUGGAAAGCCGUUAGGAUUUUUUUUUUUUUUUUAAAUUUCAUGUGACCUCGGACUGGGGUGCCAGAGAGACACAGGGAGGUUGUCAUCUACCUCCCAUCAGUGAAGUGUCCCAGAAAUGGUGUCCCACUCAUCCAGCUGGAAAGGGAAAUGCACAUGCAGACACUUACUUUGGGGGACAGCCAGAUUCCUAGUUGGCCUGUAGACAGGUUUCCAGGUGAGGGACUCAGGAAAGAGUUACAUUUGUGUUGUGUUGAGUGUUUGGCGUCUGCUGUUCAUCGAACGUCUUUUGUGUCAGCGCUCUUGUGGCCUAAAGAAGGAUCUCAUGUAAAAGAGUGCAGGCCACACUUUGGUUGGGUCAGUGGUUUGCUUCACGUUUCCGUCUGUUUCAAACGAAUCCAUCGUAAUAAACGGUUAUCUGUGAAGAGGCA
ensembl:lncRNA